UGGGGAAUAUUGCACAAUGGGCGCAAGCCUGAUGCAGCCAUGCCGCGUGUAUGAAGAAGGCCUUCGGGUUGUAAAGUACUUUCAGCGGGGAGGAAGGGAGUACAGUUAAUACCUUUGCUCAUUGACGUUACCCGCAGAAGAAGCACCGGCUAACUCCGUGCCAGCAGCCGCGGUAAUACGGAGGGUGCAAGCGUUAAUCGGAAUUACUGGGCGUAAAGCGCACGCAGGCGGUUUGUUAAGUCAGAUGUGAAAUCCCCGGGCUCAACCUGGGAACUGCGUCUGAUACUGGCAAGCUUGAGUCUCGUAGAGGGGGGUAGAAUUCCAGGUGUAGCGGUGAGAUGCGUAGAGAUCUGGAGGAAUACCGGUGGCGAAGGCGGCCCCCUGGACGAAGACUGACGCUCAGGUGCGAAAGCGUGGGGAGCAAACAGG
rnacentral:rRNA from 1 species